rnacentral:rRNA from 1 species
AUUGAACGCUGGCGGCAGGCCUAACACAUGCAAGUCGAACGAGUGGGAGACGGGUGAGAAAUGUCUGGGACCCAGCCUGAUGGAGGGGGAUAACUCCUGGAAACGGUAGCUAAUACCGCAUACCAUCAGAUGUGCCCAGAUGGGAUUAGCUAGUUGGUGGGGUAACGGCUUACCAAGGCGACGAGCCCUAGCUGGUCUGAGACGUUGACCAGCCACACUGGAACUGAGACACGGUCCAGACUCCUACGGGAGGCAGCAGUGGGGAAUCUUGCGCAAUGGGCGAAAGCCUGAUGCAGCCACGCCGCGUGUAUGAUGAAGGCCUUCGGGUUGUAAAGCACUUUCAUCGGGGAAGCGUUACCCGCAGAAGAAGCACCGGCUAACUCCGUGCCAGCAGCCGCGGUAAUUC